GUAGGCUUUAGAACCUAAAUAUAUUCCAGGGUUUGUUAAUUAUUUUAUCUUUAUUUUUUUUAUAUCCUGUUGUGUCUUAUAGCAAGCUGAAGCUGUGAAAAUGCAUACUGACUUAAAAGUGGGUAUGUACUGGGGAGAUAUCGGUGUUGAUCUCUGGGAUGCAGAUACAUGGAAGGAACAAACUGAUAAAUAUGAGGUGCGAGUUUUUUUUUUUUUCUUUUAUUUAAAAUAUACAGAAAUAUGUAUAUAAUUAUCCUCCAUUUUAUGAAUCCUUUUCUUCGAUGCUGUUUCCUCAGUUCAUUUGGCCAUUUCUUGGCUAGUCUGAUUUGUUUCAUUUUUUAUAUUUUUUUCAUCAAUUAGUCACCAAAUUCUUUUUUACGGGAUGUUAGCUAGCAUCCAUAAUUGUCUUUCUUAAAAUGUCAGCUUAUAAGUACAACAAUUACAGUCUCUAUAAACACAAGCACACUCGCACUCAUUCGCUCACACGCUCACAAAAUUUCAGCAAUUGUGAAAUAUUUUGGUAAAGAAACUCCCAAUUACCAUUACUUACUUUAAAUUUAAGAUUUUUUCUUUGUCGUAUAGUGUUUCUUUUAUCCAAGACCGAGCUCAAGACUAAUGAUCUUGUCAUAUAUGUUUCCAUAUGGCUGAGUGUAUGAUCUUUUAACUUUUGACCUUUUAACAGGUUCUUGUGAUGACUUUUGCGAUCUUGCUUAGUAAUUUGAGGCAUAGCUUUAUCCAAUUAAGCAUGAUAAAGGUCUUGAUUAUGGAUGAAUGCCAUCAUGCUAGGGGUAACCACCCAUAUGCAUGCAUAAUGAAGUUGGAAAAUCACAAUCGUCCUAUUGGAAAGUAAUUCAAGAGCUUGAGACCCUGAUGAAUUCAAAGGCCCGAGGAGACUCCGUGUGCCUUGUAUGCGCAUUUAACAAACAAGUUGAACACCCUAAGAGAAAAGGCAAUCCAUGAUUGACGUCAUUGUUUUUGCAUCUGCAAAAUAGGCUGCAUGGUCCUUGUCACACAAAGAAAUUGCCUUGUUCGAUUGGGAGAAACUGGACCGGUUGGGUGAGACGACUGUAAAAAGUUUCAUUUUGGAAGCUUACCAGGCGUUUAUAUCUUUUCUACCAUCUGAUCCGUUGUGGACUAUCGCUGAUGAUAUUAAACACAAUAUGGAUGAAAGGUUUCUAACUCCCAAAGUUGUCCGUCUCAUUCAAUUGCUUCUCAAAUACACGUUGGCAUGCCCUCAAUAUAUUUUUUAUGUUUGUCGAAAAUGUAGAAUGGAUUUGACUUUGUUGUUGUCUGGAUAUGUUGAGACUGAAUCAGAAGUUCAGAACAU